rnacentral:lncRNA from 1 species
AUAACAACCAUUGUUGUUCCUAUCACACCAUCACCAUUCCAGAGUGAAAAAGCAUGUCCAUGAUUCUUUCUGUAAACUUCAUAUUAUAAGUUCAUAGCCAAUAGUAUUGCAGUGGUUCUAUGCUUGCAAUGCAAUGGUAUCAUUACUGUAACUUGAAAAUUACGAGCUCAAAAUGGAUAGCAGUCAGAAUAACUUACAUUUUUUCAUAACUUUAAAAAAAAAAUAUAUAAAAUCUUUAUAAAAAUACUAAGACAGCAGAAAUGAAGAGGAGCUAGUGAGCUGGUUACUCUUUUUUGUUCAUCUAAUUUUAUUACACCUCUGUGGUGGUGUUUAAAAAUUAGACAUU